rnacentral:rRNA from 1 species
GUGGGGAAUUUUGGACAAUGGGCGCAAGCCUGAUCCAGCAAUGCCGCGUGCAGGAAGAAGGCCUUCGGGUUGUAAACUGCUUUUGUACGGAACGAAAAGGCUCUGGUUAAUACCUGGGGCUCAUGACGGUACCGUAAGAAUAAGCACCGGCUAACUACGUGCCAGCAGCCGCGGUAAUACGUAGGGUGCAAGCGUUAAUCGGAAUUACUUGGCGUAAAGCGUGCGCAGGCGGUUUUGUAAGACAGAGGUGAAAUCCCCGGGCUGAACCUGGGAAUUGACUUUGUGACUGCAAGGCUGGAGUGCGGCAGAGGGGGAUGGAAUUCCGCGUGUAGCAGUGAAAUGCGUAGAUAUGCGGAGGAACACCGAUGGCGAAGGCAAUCCCCUGGGCCUGCACUGACGCUCAUGCACGAAAGCGUGGGGAGCAAACAGGAUUAGAAACCCGGGUAGUCC